CAGGCUUUUCUUAGUUUCAGCUGUGACAGUUUUUUCUUCAAAGUCUCUGGUACGAUGCUAUGCUUUGGUUUCAGGAGAAGAACAAUGCUCAUGACUUACCAAUGUUUCUAGCUGUUGUGUACAGUUCAGUAGUUGUGCACAGAGUCUAGGACGCUUUCGCUUUCUGUUUCUUGUACUGUCCUGCCAGUGAGGGGGAAUGGGGGGACACACGUAACUGGGAGGAGCCAGGACCAGGACAGCUCACCUAAACUGGCCAAAGGGAUAUUCCACACCAUAUGACAUCAUGCAGAAAUUCAAAAUAUAUCCAAAGAAUGCUGCUGACUUGUCUGCAGGGAUCAGCCUCAGCCACCUCCAAUUUUAUAUUUAGAAGUCAAGGACAACGCAAAUCUGAGUCUAUAAUGAGCUCCCUUCCACAGAAAUUAUGGCAACGGAUAUCUUCCCAUGGAAAAAUGAAAAAAUGUUUAUUGAU
ensembl:lncRNA